UGCAUAUUCCCGAGGCAGGAAAUACUGGUGGAUCCCAUGGUCGCUGUCGAUGAAGGGCUGCAGGGACACAGAGGGGUGUCAACAGAAAGGAGCAGCUGCACCGGCUCUGCUCCGUGGUUAUCCCAGCAGGAUCCCUCUGCAGGAGCCAGGGGAAGGCUCUGGACGCUAGGGAGCACUGUGAGGAUUCCCAACGCUCCUACAGCUCUGGGAAUGCCGGGAGCACAGACAUGGACCGGGCAGCAGAGUGAGCAGAUGCAAAAGGGGAAUUCAAAUCGCUUGGAAUUGGAGGGGAAGCUGCUGGGAGUUCAGACACUAGCCCAAGGCUGAACCUGGCCUCUUGCACCUGGGGAGAAGGUUCUUUCCAGGGAGAAAAUCACUAAUGACCUCAGCUGAUGUGUCCCCAGAAAUGGGCAGCCUCACAAUCACUCUCCCAGAGCCCUGCAUUCCCUAAACUCUUCUCUUCCCUUACAGAUUCGAUAAGAUUCGUCUCUUUCUAUGUUUCCCUCUGCCAUCUCCCACCAGAACCAAAAAUCCGGGGGAUGCAAAUGUGGACAUCGAUGACUACACCUCCAUCAGGGCCGGGCUUCAGCUCUUCCCAAGGGCUCAUCCAGCCCUGGCUGGGUCAGCCCAUCUUGGAACAGCAGGUGGGCACCACGAUCGAUGUUUGGUCCUGCCCAGGCAAGGCCAGGAACACCCAGAUGGGACAAGGACAGUGCCAGCGCACAGAGGAAAAUCUGCCCUGAAAUUUUUAACCCAAAGACAAGAGUCCUUCGGGCACACAGACACAUCAUCAGCUGAACAAGAGCUGGGGAAACACA